GAAAUGUUUUUGUCAUUAUUGAAAGGCAUCUGGACGUACUUAUCGGUACCUUAGAUCAUCUGGUGAUAUCACUAACAAAAACAGUGAAAUCACUUAUUGGAGAUAUUGACAACAUUCUUACUGAUCUGAGCAAAGUAUUGAAAUGCAGUCUUCCCAUUGUUGGGCCAUUGAUCGCAGGUGUCCUUCCUCUUCUUGGUGGUGCCUUGGGCGUUGUAGGGGCUGUUGUUGAUACUGCUCUUAAUGUUGUUGGCGGUGUUGUUAAUGGUCUUCUUGGUGGCAGCGGUGGUCUUCUUGGUGGCAGCGGUGGUCUUCUUGGUGGUCUUUUUGGUGGCAGCGGUGGCCUUCUUGGUGCUGGACGCAGAUAAGGUCUCUUUGGCUGAUACAGGAACAUCUCUGCUCCAUCUCUGCAAAACCAGCUGAUGUGGAUUUACUGAUUCUUAAUGAUUUUUUUCUGUUUCUCUAGAUUUUCAUUUACUUGUAUCAACUGUUAAUGA